GAAGAUACGCAGUUCAGGUGCUAUUACAUGCGAGUCGGGUGACUAACACGUGGGCAAUCUGCCCUGCACUCUGGGACAAGCCCUGGAAACGGGGUCUAAUACCGGAUACGACCGCAGACCGCAUGGUUGGUGGUGGAAAGCUCCGGCGGUGCAGGAUGAGCCCGCGGCCUAUCAGCUUGUUGGUGGGGUGAUGGCCUACCAAGGCGACGACGGGUAGCCGGCCUGAGAGGGCGACCGGCCACACUGGGACUGAGACACGGCCCAGACUCCUACGGGAGGCAGCAGUGGGGAAUAUUGCACAAUGGGCGAAAGCCUGAUGCAGCGACGCCGCGUGAGGGAUGACGGCCUUCGGGUUGUAAACCUCUUUCAGCAGGGAAGAAGCGAAAGUGACGGUACCUGCAGAAGAAGCGCCGGCUAACUACGUGCCAGCAGCCGCGGUAAUACGUAGGGCGCAAGCGUUGUCCGGAAUUAUUGGGCGUAAAGAGCUCGUAGGCGGCUUGUCGCGUCGGAUGUGAAAGCCCGGGGCUUAACCCCGGGUCUGCAUUCGAUACGGGCAGGCUAGAGUUCGGUAGGGGAGAUCGGAAUUCCUGGUGUAGCGGUGAAAUGCGCAGAUAUCAGGAGGAACACCGGUGGCGAAGGCGGAUCUCUGGGCCGAUACUGACGCUGAGGAGCGAAAGCGUGGGGAGCGAACAGGAUUAGAUACCCUGGUAGUCCACGCCGUAAACGUUGGGCACUAGGUGUGGGCGACAUUCCACGUCUUCCGUGCCGCAGCCUACGCAUUUAAGUGCCCCGCCUGGGGAGUACGGCCGCAAGGCUUAAACCUCAAAUGAUAUUGACUGGAGGCCCGCACCAGCCAAGCGAGAGCUAUGUUGGCGUUACUUCCACCGC
rnacentral:rRNA from 1 species